AUAUAUCUUACGACAUAUAUAUGAUAUAUACAAAUCAACUUAGACAAUUGACAGGAUAAGUGACAAGCAAAUCAAUUAUGGGACUUCUAACAGUCAUUUUGUCAUAAAACUACUUGAGUACUUAAGUAAAGGAGCAAACUAGAAAAAGAUAAAUUAAAUAUUUGAUCAAUUUCUGAAUAGUUACAAAAUCUCACUAGUUCUUCAUGACAACAAAAGCUAAUAACUGCACCUUCAAUCAUUCUCAAUGAUAUACUCAUUUUACUCUUACUCAUCUCUAGACUACGUGAAAGGAAGUUAUAGUAUAUGCAUACGCUAGCCCCUUGGCUAUGUCACUCUUCUGCAUUUUAUGUGAUAAUGAACUUUAUAUACAAAGAAUGCUGCACACCCCCUGACUCCAGUUUCAUAUGUAUCAUUAUGUGAAUAUGGUACAAGAAGCGAAGAAAUUGUACCCUAUAUUAUGUGCACCAUAUGCUUGUGCACACCGUCAAUCAUAAUCGCCUAUUUUUGCAAGCUCCAUUCAUUAAAUGCUUAUCUCAGUGCACCACUACAUGAAUGAACGGCGGCAUGCACCACCAUAUGGUGUAUGCCAUUUACGAUAGAAUUUCUUCAAGGAGUGGUGCUUUUUACUCGAACAAAAACCAUAUAGGGUGGGCACCAA
rnacentral:lncRNA from 1 species